ensembl:lncRNA
GUUUCUGACUUGUUUAUCUGUUCAUUCACUUAUAAUCUAAUUUCUCUGUUUCUGCGUGCAACCUUGACAGAUGAUGUGGAGACCUCUGAACAGGAAACACGUGAGUAUAACUCAAAAAAAUGUUGUUGUGCAACAAUAAUUGCUCAAAUUUGCUUUGCUAAAACCCAUAGGUUUGUAGAAUUAUAGUACAAAUGUUUCAUUACUGUACUUCAGUAAAGUUUUUGUAUCUUUUUAUAGUCUAAGUAUUUUGUUGACAUUUACUUUGCUACACUAAAAUGUAUACUUUUAUUCAAUUAGAUAAAAAUCUGAUAUAAAUCACUUCAGUGUUCUUUGUGUAGUAUUUCCCAAACUCUGAUGUUCACAUGUACACAGAUUUGACCGGAUGUCUGCUUUGUCUUUGUAUUUCCCUGUUUCUAGGUGAUGAUGUCACACCAGAAGAGACACCUUCAUCAGAGAUCAGAGAAGGUGAAAGUAAACGGUUCAUUCUUGUUGAAGAGACCGCCAUAAGUAAAGCAUUUGGUGCUGGUAAGAUAUUGAGAGACCAACGGGGCAGGAAGAGCAUUGCAAUCAGAGAUAAAGAUGAUGAAGUUCAAACACAUGAUUUUACAGAUGAUGUGAUGAUCUCUGAACAAGAAACAUGUGUUGAUGACACACAAGAAAAGACACCAAGACCAGAGCUCAAAGAAAGAGAAGGUGAACGGUCAAUUUGUGUUCAAGAGACUCCCAUAAGUAAAGUAUUAGGUGAUGAUAAGAGAUUGAGAGACAGACAGGGCAGAAAGAGCCUUGUAAUCCGUAAAACCAAUCCUGAAGAUGCUGGAGUUCAAACACAUGGAUCAGAUGGAAAAGCUCCUGGAAAUGAACUGAAAGAGCUGAAAAAAGAAUCAACAGGAAAAGACAUGACUGAAGAAACACCUUUGAUGAGCCAAGAGGAAGAGGAUGGAUCAAAUCGGUAGAGAAGACACGCCCACCAGUGUCAAUCACUGUGACAUCAUCAACAUUUAAGUUCUUUAACAAGCCUCUAGAAUCCAUCCAGUCAAAAUGAGAAACCCGUGAACAGAGAAAUGUGUUGAUGAAAUAAUGUCAUAUAACUGUAUUAAUGUUACACUACAUACCUCUUACUCUAACAUGUUUUUUUUUUUGCCACAGAAGCAUCUGCCAAACCAUUGUAUGUGAUGUUAAUUUUGUUAUUCAGCUUUGAUUCCAGUGUCUCUAAAGAUCACAUGACCAGCUCCUCAUGUGUAGAAAUUCAUCAGACUCUAUAUAUCAGACACACAGUAUUCAGUGUCAAUGGGACGUUUUUGUUGCAGAAAUUAACCAACUACCUUCCUUAGUAACCAUUCUUUUUACACAACUUUCAUUAAAAUGAAAACUUUGCAUGCUUUACUCUAUUUUAAAUAACAUCUUAAAUAUGUAAUCCAUAGAUAUGUUUUAAAGAAAAUCUGUUUCAACCUCCUUUAAUCAAAUUACAAAUGUGACUUGAACUUGAGUGUAUUACGUCCAGAGAUGUAUUUGUUUCUCUUUAUUUAGCAGGAAGUAAUAGCUCCCAGCUGACUCCAGUUAUUGUUUGCCUGCUGUGUUUGGAGGAAUUUAUGACUUGUUGAUUUGGUUUCUCUCCAGUGUUAUUGUGUUUACACUCUGUUGUUGUAAUUGGUGUUUAUAAAAAAUGAACACAUUAUGGUUUAUAAGCUACCAUUUGUUUGUGUAUUGUUCUUAAUUCAUAUAUAUUAUAUAUAUAUACUAGUGGUGGGCAUAGAUAAUUUUUUUUUUAAUCUAGAUUAAUCUCACUGUGAUCUUGAAAUUAAUCUAGAUUAAAAUGGCUCAUUCGAAUUGCCGUAGCUGGGGUCAGCGGGGCGGGGCCCCGGUGAAGGUUGUACCAGUGGGCCCUGUUUGAAAUUGUUUAAUUUGUAUGUUGUGUAUAUAUAUAUAUAUA